rnacentral:lncRNA from 1 species
GGCACCGGCGGCAACAUUGAUGUAAGAAUUGGCACCGGCGGCAACAUUGAUGAAAUAUUCUUACCCGGCCGAGGAAGCGGCGGCACCGGCGGCGGUAGCUGGCGUGUCGUGUGAGGUGACCGGAGACGAAGACGUCUUUGCAAAACUAGCAAUUCUGACCACCAUCCGUAUUUGCUUCAGAUGUAUAUGGAUCAUUGCCGGACUGCUUCUCGCGUAUAUAUGCCAAUGCGUACUUUUAUCCUUGCUUGAUCGAAUAAAUGAAAGAUAUUCUCUCGCGCUGCUUCCCCC